CCUACGGGAGGCUGCAGUGAGGAAUAUUGGUCAAUGGACGAGAGUCUGAACCAGCCAAGUAGCGUGAGGGAUGAAUGCCCUGUGGGUUGUAAACUUCUUUUAUAAGGGAAUAAAGUGAGGCACGUGUGCCUUUUUGUGUGUACUUUAUGAAUAAGCAUCGGCUAACUCCGUGCCAGCAGCCGCGGUAAUACGGAGGAUCCGAGCGUUAUCCGGAUUUAUUGGGUUUAAAGGGAGCGUAGAUGGGUUGUUAAGUCAGUUGUGAAAGUCUGCGGCUCAACCGUAAAAUCGCAAUUGAUACUGGCAGUCUUGAGUACAGUUGAGGUAGGCGGAAUUCGUGGUGUAGCGGUGAAAUGCUUAGAUAUCACGAAGAACUCCGAUUGCGAAGGCAGCUUACUAAACUGACACUGACAUUGAUGCUCGAAAGUGUGGGUAUCAAACAGGAUUAGAUACCCCAGUAGUC
rnacentral:rRNA from 1 species